rnacentral:rRNA from 1 species
CAGCAGCCGCGGUAAUACGGAGGAUGCGAGCGUUAUCCGGAUUCAUUGGGUUUAAAGGGUGCGUAGGCGGACUUAUAAGUCAGUGGUGAAAACCUGCAGCUUAACUGUAGAGGUGCCAUUGAUACUGUUAGUCUUGAGUGUGGUCAAGGUAGGCGGAAUGUGUAAUGUAGCGGUGAAAUGCUUAGAUAUUACACAGAACACCAAUUGCGAAGGCAGCUUACUGGGCCAUUACUGACGCUGAUGCACGAAAGCGUGGGGAGCGAACAGGAUUAGAUACCCUGGUAGUCCACGCCGUAAACGAUGAUCACUCGCUGUUGGCGAUACACAGUCAGCGGCUAAGCAAAAGCAUUAAGUGAUCCACCUGGGGAGUACGGCCGCAAGGCUGAAACUCAAAGGAAUUGACGG